AUGGCAAAACCCCCAAAAUCAAACCCGGACCCUCAGCAGAGGAGGCGCAGGGACCCCCCGGGGGGCUGGAGGUCCCCCCCGGACUCCAGCAGGGUCACGGCCGCCCGGAGCCCUGCGGGAAAAAGGGGAGAUGGGGUCGGGCUCCGGGCGGCCGUGACCCUGCUGGAGUCCGGGGGGGACCUCCAGCCCCCCGGGGGGUCCCUGCGCCUCCUCUGCCGAGGGUCCGGCUUUGAUUUUGGACAAUUUGUGAUGGGCUGGCACAGGCAGAGACCCGGGCAGGGGCUGGAAUUCGUCGCAAGUAUCAAUAAUGGUGGCAGCACCGCCUACGCGCCCUCGGUGCAGGGCCGGUUCACGAUCUCCAGGGACAACGGGCAGAGCUCGGUGACGCUGACCAUGAACAACCUCAAGGACGAGGAUUCCGGAUCCUAUUUCUGUGUGAAAUCUCCUCAUACUGGUAGCGCUGCUGCUGAUGCUCAGAUUGACCUUGCCGGGGUUGGCACCAGCCCUGCCUGA